rnacentral:rRNA from 1 species
AUUGAACGCUGGCGGCAUGCCUUACACAUGCAAGUCGAGCGAGUGGCGAACGGGUGAUUAAUAUAUGGGAACCUACCGGGUAAUGGGGGAUAACUAAUCGAAAGAUUGGCUAAUACCGCAUAUUAUUCGAUCGACCCAUAUCUGAUUAGCUAGUUGGUGGGGUAAAGGCGCACCAAGGCGACGAUCCCUAGCUGGUCUGAUAGGAUGAUCCGCCACACUGGGACUGAGACACGGCCAAGAGUCCUAAGGGAGGCAGCAGUGGGGAAUAUUGCACAAUGGGCGCAAGCCUGAUGCAGCCAUGCCGCGUGUAUGAAGAAGGCCUUAGGGUUGUAAAGUACUUUUGGCAGGGAAGCGGGACCUGAAGAAGAAGCACCGGCUAACUCCGUGCCAGCAGCCGCGGUAAUAC